GAUGAACGCUGGCGGUGUGCCUAAUACAUGCAAGUCGUACGCAUUCCCGUUUUUGAUUGAAGGUGCUUACACCUGAUUGAUAAAACAUCGGAAUGAGUGGCGGACGGGUGAGUAACACGUGGGUAACCUGGCCCAGAAGUGGGGGAUAACAUUUGGAAACAGAUGCUAAUACCGCAUAAGUAGAUAGAACCACAUGGUUCUAUUUUGAAAGAUGGCCUUUGUGCUAUC
rnacentral:rRNA from 1 species